GUUACAAUGGCAGGUACAGAGGGAUGCUACCGGGCGACCGGAUGCGGAUCUCGAAAGCCUGUCCCAGUUCGGACUGGAGUCUGCAACCCGACUCCACGAAGUUGGAUUCGCUAGUAAUCGCGCAUCAGCCAUGGCGCGGUGAAUACGUUCCCGGGCCUUGUACACACCGCCCGUCAAGCCAUGGGAGCCGGGGGCGCCUGAAGUCCGGGACCGCGAGGACCGGCCUAGGGCGAAACUGGUAACUGGGGCUAAGUCGUAACAAGGUACC
rnacentral:rRNA from 1 species